ensembl:snRNA U6 U6 spliceosomal RNA
GUUCUCAGUUCAGCAGCAUAUGUACUAAAAUCGGAACAAUACAGAGAAGGUGAACGUGGCCUCUGUGCAAGGAUGACACGCAAAUUCGUGAAGCAUUCCACAUUUUU